UCGAGAGAAUCGUGGUUAAGGAACUCGGCAAAAUGCCCCCGUAACUUCGGGAGAAGGGGGGCCUGAGGCGUGAACCCACUUGCUGGGGGAGCGUUCGAAGGCCGCAGAGACCAGGGAGAAGCGACUGUUUACUAAAAACACAGGUCCGUGCGAAGUCGCAAGACGAUGUAUACGGACUGACGCCUGCCCGGUGCUGGAAGGUUAAGAGGACCUGUUAGA
rnacentral:rRNA from 1 species